UACGUAGGUGGCAAGCGUUAUCCGGAUUUACUGGGUGUAAAGGGCGUGUAGGCGGUUCUGCAAGUCAGAUGUGAAAUCUCCGGGCUUAACCCGGAAGCUGCAUCUGAAACUGCAGAACUUGAGUACUGGAGAGGAUAGUGGAAUUCCUAGUGUAGCGGUAAAAUGCGUAGAUAUUAGGAGGAACACCAGUGGCGAAGGCGGCUAUCUGGACAGUAACUGACGCUGAGGCGCGAAAGCGUGGGGAGCAAACAGGAUUAGAUA
rnacentral:rRNA from 1 species